UACGAAGGGGACUAGCGUUGUUCGGAUUUACUGGGCGUAAAGGGCGCGUAGGCGGCCAGCGCAAGUCAGUUGUGAAAUCUCCGGGCUUAACUCGGAAAGGUCAACUGAUACUGCGCGGCUAGAGUGCAGAAGGGGCAACUGGAAUUCUCGGUGUAGCGGUGAAAUGCGUAGAUAUCGAGAGGAACACCUGCGGCGAAGGCGGGUUGCUGGGCUGACACUGACGCUGAUGCGCGAAAGCCAGGGGAGCGAACGGG
rnacentral:rRNA from 1 species